GGAGAGGUGGCCGAGUGGUCUAAGGCGGCAGUCUCGAAAACUGUUGAGGUUAAUUGCCUCCGCGAGUUCGAAUCUCGCCCUCUCCGCCA
rnacentral:tRNA from 2 species